rnacentral:rRNA from 1 species
AACGAACGCUGGCGGCAUGCCUAACACAUGCAAGUCGACCGAGACCUUCGGGUCUAGUGUCGCACGGGUGCGUAACGGGUGGGAUAAUGCGUUUAGGUUCGGAAUAACUCCUAGAAACGGGUUCUGAUACCGGAUAAUGUUUUCGGACCAAAGAUUUAUCGCCUUUGGUUUGGCCCGCGUUGGAUUAGCUAGUUGGUAGGGUAAAAGCCUACCAUGGCGACGAUCGAUAGCUGGUCUGAGAGGAUGAUCAGGCACACUGGGACUGACACACGGCCCAGACUCCUACGGGAGGCGGCAGUGGGGAAUAUUAGACAACGGGCGAAAGCCUGAACCAGUAAUGCCGCGUGAGUGAUGAAGGCCUUAGGGUUGUAAAGCUCUUUUACCCGGGAUGAUAAUGACAGUACCGGGAGAAUAAGUGCCGGCUAACUCCGUG